rnacentral:rRNA from 1 species
AUUGAACGCUGGCGGCAGGCUUAACACAUGCAAGUCGAGCGGGGAAGGGUAGCUUGCUACCUAACCUAGCGGCGGACGGGUGAGUAAUGCUUAGGAAUCUGCCUAUUAGUGGGGGACAACAUUCCGAAAGGAAUGCUAAUACCGCAUACGCCCUACGGGGGAAAGCAGGGGAUCUUCGGACCUUGCGCCAAUAGAUGAGCCUAAGUCGGAUUAGCUAGUUGGUGGGGUAAAGGCCUACCAAGGCGACGAUCUGUAGCGGGUCUGAGAGGAUGAUCCGCCACACUGGGACUGAGACACGGCCCAGACUCCUCCGGGGGGCAGCAGUGGGGAAUAUUGGACAAUGGGGGGAACCCUGAUCCAGCCAUGCCGCGUGUGUGAAGAAGGCCUUUUGGUUGUAAAGCACUUUAAGCGAGGAGGAGGCUACCGAGAUUAAUACUCUUGGAUAGUGGACGUUACUCGCAGAAUAAGCACCGGCUAACUCUGUGCCAGCAGCCGCCGCCGUAA